GAUGAACGCUAGCUACAGGCUCAACACAUGCAAGUCGAGGGGUAACGAGAGGAAAGCUUGCUUUCCUUGUCGACGACCGGCGCACGGGUGAGUAACGCGUAUCCAACCUGCCCCCAACUAGGGAAUAACCUUGCGAAAGUAAGACUAAUACCUUAUAAUUUCCUCAGAUGACAUCUGACGAGGAAUAAAGAUUUAUCGGUUGUGGAUGGGGAUGCGUCUGAUUAGCUUGUUGGCGGGGUAACGGCCCACCAAGGCAACGAUCAGUAGGGGUCCUGAGAGGAAGGUCCCCCACAUUGGAACUGAGACACGGUCCAAACUCCUACGGGAGGCAGCAGUGAGGAAUAUUGGUCAAUGGGCGGAAGCCUGAACCAGCCAAGUAGCGUGCAGGAUGACGGCCCUAUGGGUUGUAAACUGCUUUUAUACAGGAAUAAAGUUAGCCACGUGUGGUUAUUUGUAGGUACUGUAUGAAUAAGGACCGGCUAAUUCCGUGCCAGCCGCCGCAGUAA
rnacentral:rRNA from 1 species